rnacentral:rRNA from 1 species
UACGUAGGGUGCGAGCGUUGUCCGGAAUUACUGGGCGUAAAGAGCUCGUAGGCGGUCUGUCACGUCUGCCGUGAAAACCCGAGGCCUAACCUCGUGGCUUGCGGUGGAUACGGGCAGACUAGAGGUAGGUAGGGGAGAACGGAAUUCCUGGUGUAGCGGUGAAAUGCGCAGAUAUCAGGAGGAACACCGGUGGCGAAGGCGGUUCUCUGGGCCUGUACUGACGCUGAGGAGCGAAAGCGUGGGGAGCGAACAGG